GAAAAAAUUUGCAUCUAAAGGAUACAUUAAACACCACUUAAACGUCCACACUGGCUCCAAGCCUUUUAAGUGUGACACUUGUGAAAGAAGCUUUGGUCAGAGGAACUCCCUCAGAGAGCAUUUAAAACUGCACACAGGUGAGCGUCCGUACAAAUGUACAGUAUGUGGUAAACAGUUCACUCAGCUCGGCGCUCUCCAGCGGCACCAACGGAUCCACACGGGAGAGAAACCUUUCAUGUGUGCUCUCUGUAAACGAACUUUUACUGACCAGUCCACCUUUCGCAGGCACACUUUGGUUCAUGACAUAGAAGUUCCAUGGAAGACCUACUUGGUGAUGCUGAAGGGAAAUAUCGAGGAAAAGAAGCCAAAGUCUCCCACUGAGGAAAAUGCAGAACAAGCAAAACCAGGGAAGAAAACU